UGAAUUUUGAUCACGUGAACAGGGGGAUGUCGCAACAGUAGGAGACACAUCAGCAUCUACUGGGAAAGCAAAGAAAGAAAAGCCAGCCUUACAAGGUAUACUGGACUUGGAAAUCAAUGCCAUUUAGGUCAAGAUUACAGAAAGAAUGGAAAUCAGAAUGAGAAGGAAGGUUGCCUCAUAAAAACGCACGAGACCUGAUCUGCUUGUCAGGAUUUGCAGUGAUUCUCCAAUUCUAUCUGGAAACAUUUCCUAAACUGGUGGCUUAGAAAGUGGGCUUCAGUCCCAGGGAGGAGAGAGAGGGCCUCACAGUGGGGGCCUGACAGAAGCUGGGGCUCUGAGGAGACCAGCUUAAGUUGCCGGAUGGGGUGGGGGACAUUCAGAGGACAGCUUUCUCUCUCACACAAACACACCCAUUUCCUGGCAAUGCUCCAGUCCCACUACAAUAGGCUGCUGUUUGAAAUGUUCUGACACAGCUGGCAGCUUGAUGGGAACAGCUGGUUGCCUAGAAGAGAGAGUGGAUUGGACCAUGGUUUAAGAUUAGGGGCCCUGGGUAGGACUUAAGCUUCUCUCCCCACCUCUCCCUAAGGGGAAUAGCAUCGCCUUUGCAAAAACCUGGGGAAGAAAGGAAAGCUCUCUAGCCAAGGUUUACUCCAGACCUCUUCCCAAAUGGGUAGAUCAGAUUAAGGAAUGAUGUUUGUAAUGUAAAAUUCUUGCAUAUAGUAAUACAGGAACUUCUAGUGAAUUGC